CCUACGGGAGGCAGCAGUGAGGAAUAUUGGUCAAUGGGCGCUAGCCUGAACCAGCCAAGUAGCGUGAAGGAUGACUGCCCUAUGGGUUGUAAACUUCUUUUAUAUGGGAAUAAAGUGCAGUAUGUAUACUGCUUUGCAUGUACCUUAUGAAUAAGGAUCGGCUAACUCCGUGCCAGCAGCCGCGGUAAUACGGAGGAUUCGAGCGUUAUCCGGAUUUAUUGGGUUUAAAGGGAGCGUAGGCGGGUUGUUAAGUCAGUUGUGAAAGUUUGCGGCUCAACCGUAAAAUUGCAGUUGAUACUGGCAGCCUUGAGUACAGUAGAGGUAGGCGGAAUGCGUGGUGGAGCGGUGAAAUGCUUAGAUAUCACGAAGAACUCCGAUUGCGAAGGCAGCCUGCUGGACUGUAACUGACGCUGAUGCUCGAAAGUGUGGGUAUCAAACAGGAUUAGAUACCCCUGUAGUC
rnacentral:rRNA from 1 species